AUUGAACGCUGGCGGAAUGCUUUACACAUGCAAGUCGAACGGCAGCACGGGGGCAACCCUGGUGGCGAGUGGCGAACGGGUGAGUAAUACAUCGGAACGUGCCCAAUCGUGGGGGAUAACGUAGCGAAAGCUACGCUAAUACCGCAUACGAUCUACGGAUGAAAGCGGGGGAUCGCAAGACCUCGCGCGAAUGGAGCGGCCGAUGGCAGAUUAGGUAGUUGGUGGGGUAAAGGCUCACCAAGCCAACGAUCUGUAGCUGGUCUGAGAGGACGACCAGCCACACUGGGACUGAGACACGGCCCAGACUCCUACGGGAGGCAGCAGUGGGGAAUUUUGGACAAUGGGCGAAAGCCUGAUCCAGCCAUUCCGCGUGCAGGAUGAAGGCCUUCGGUUGUAACUGCUUUGGUACGGAACGAAAACCAACUU
rnacentral:rRNA from 1 species